rnacentral:rRNA from 1 species
GCUUACGGCCACACCGGCCUGAGUAUACCUGAUCUCGUCCGAUCUCGGAAGCUAAGCAGGGUCGGGCCUGGUUAGUACUUGGAUGGGAGACCGCCUGGGAAUACCAGGUGCUGUAAGCU